AACCUCUAAUUCAGAGAUACCUUUCACCACCACAACUUAAACAUUCCAGAACCAGGACAGAUCCUAUCAGGACUGAGAUUCUACGAGGUUCCAGAUUAUCUGCCGAUUGUGAAGAAGGUGGAGGCCUGGAUUCACAAUCACCAGCUUAUAAAUAACAUUAGCAGUGGUGUGGAUUUAUUGUUGUGGCCUCUGGAAGGACUUGGGCACAGCGUAACCUCCUGGGGUCCGAAGUUGUUAAUCAGUAAGUUGGUCAUGAAGGACAGUGCUCAUUGUGAAGGAGGGUGCUCUGGGAUGCUCUGCCUGGCCUGACACCCCUCAGCCUGUCCUCAUUGUCCUGGCUCUGAGAAGAAGCUACAAAACACAGAAGAAGAAAAAGAAAAGAGUCUUUUAAAGUCUUGUAAUGAGUUGUUAAUGAUAAAAGUAACACAUGCCAACUGGAAAAAUGUGAAUUUUUAAAAUCUCAGCAAAAAGUAUAAAGAU
rnacentral:lncRNA from 1 species